rnacentral:lncRNA from 1 species
GAUGGGUACCAAGAGCUGAAGUAGCUUGCACGAAAAGGUAAGGGGCUCUUUCAAGCCCCGGCCCGGAUACCAAGAGUUGAAGUAGCUUGCACGGAAAGGUAAGGGGCUCUUUCAAGCCCCGGCCAGCUCGCCUCAGAUUUCACAGUGUGGACAGGUCCUUUAAAUCCCGCAACACGCCGGCAUGAAUUGAAAGCCACGCGGGGCGAGCGGGGCGCGAACCGGUGUUACCCUGGGGUGGGGGGCGCCCCGAUUGUGCCGUGCAAACGCCAACUCCCUCGGUGCAGCUCCCUCGGCGUGCCAUCCCGGCGCCUGUCACCUUAUGGGAUCGCGGAGGAGCCAACCUUGCCCGCGCAGGCACUGCGAGCGCAACCCUUGCACAGAUUUUAAUCCACGGGAUCCUGCCUUAUAAGGCACGCACUUGUCCUUAGGAUCUUCAAGCGAGCCAUAGGAUCAGAAUGUAUCCUUUUCCAUGAGUGCAGUAAAGGAAGGGAUGAAAGAAGGCCGCUUCAGAAUCAAAGCUGUAUUUUCCCCUCUAUGUGUGGCUCCACUUGAUUGGCAGAAACACAGCAAAAUAAGGUAGUGGUGGAAAGGGCCCUUUGUUAGUUGCGGUGUGUGUGUGUCUGUGUGUGUGUCUGUGUGUGUGUGUGUGUGUGUGUGUGUGCAUGCGUGCAUGUGUGCAUGCCCACGCCCUUGCUAAUUGUUCUGGUUUUUCUAUAUCAGGCUCAAGGAUUACAAAUUGUCGUCCUGCUCUUGACUAUGGCCUCGUAAAGUAGGAUAGGAAUCACGUACUGUAGAGAGAGUCCAGACUCAGAAGACAGAAACUUGCCGCGACCACUGACUAAAUCCAUCAUUUCUGAGACGUUUGAGGAGAGGACUGCCGAGGGUCACCCAUCUUCAGCCACUAGAGCAGGUUGGAAUAUCCACAAUUGGAUUUGCCCGUGAUGUAUAAUUUUCGAACAGAAGUCUUUUGCAAAUUUGUCUGAGGAGCUGGACUUGAGCCACAAAAGCUCAAAUUAACAUAUAGCAGUUAGUCUUUAAGGUGAAUUGGACCAUGAUGUAUAAUUUUGGAACAGAACUCUUUUGCAAAUUUGUCUGAGGAGUUGGACUUGAGCCACAAAAGCUCAAAUUAAAAGUAUAGCAGUUAGUCUUUAAGGUGCCACAAUGUUUUUGUCUUCUUUAUCUUUUUUUCCCCCCAAUCUUUUGCUUUUGCCUUUAAAAAGUGUUACCUUUCCCCUCCCCAUGGCUGCCCAGAUGAUGUAUAAUUUUGGAACAGAACUCUUUUGCAAAUUUGUCUGAGGAGUUGGACUUGAGCCACAAAAGCUCAAAUUAAAAGUAUAGCAGUUAGUCUUUAAGGUGCCACAAUGUUUUUGUCUUCUUUAUCUUUUUU